CUUUCUCUCUCUCUCUCUCUGUCUCUCUCUCUCUCUCUCUCUCUCUAGACAUACACAUCCAUCACCACACACACACCAUAUGUGUCUCUGUCUCUGUGUGCUCUGUUUCCCCUGCUCUGUCUCUCUAUGGCGACCGGCCAUGGCGGUCAGCCAUUACCCUGUUCCUCUUCUAGGUCUCCCCAUUCUGCCGUGCCUUAUAAUAACCUUAUAGUCUUAUAUCUUAUGUCUCAGCAAUUUCUCUUUUCUUCUUUUUAAACAAAACAAUAACAAUAUGUAUUGUGAUGGUGGUGUAUGUGUGGUGAUGGUGGUGUAUGUGUGGUGAUGGUGGUGUGUCUGUGGUGAUGGUGGUGUAUGUGUGGUUAUGGUAGUAUGUGUGUGGUGAUGGUGGUGUAUGUGUGGUGUUGGUGGAUUAUGUUUGGUGAUUUUGGUAAAUGUAUUGUGAUGGUGGUGUAUGUGUGGUUAUGGUGGUGUAUGUGUGGUGAUGGUGGUGUGUAUGUGGUGAUGGUGGUGUGUGUGUGGUGAUGGUGGUGUGUGUGGUUAUUGUGUUGUAUGUGUGCUGUUGGUGGUGUUUGUGUGGUGAUGGUGGUGUAUGUGUGGUGAUGGUGGUGUGUAUGUUGUGAUGGUAGUGUUUGUGUGGUGAUGGUGGUGUGUAUGUGGUGAUGGUAUUGUUUGUGUGGUGAUGAUGGUGUGUAUGUGGUGAUGGUGGUGUGUGUGGUUAUGGUGGUGUAUGUAUGGUGAUCGUGCUGUAUGUGUGGUGUUGGUGGAUUAUGUGUGGUGAUUUUUGUAAAUGUAUUGUGA
rnacentral:lncRNA from 1 species